GGCAAGAUGGCCGAGCGGUUAAGGCGGUAGACUCAAGAUGGUAAAAGACUUCUUACCUGUACAACGGGGCAAUAUUCUACUGGGGAAACCCGCGCGAGUUCGAAUCUCGCUCUUGUCA